rnacentral:rRNA from 1 species
UACGAAGGGGGCUAGCGUUGUUCGGAAUUACUGGGCGUAAAGCGCGUGUAGGCGGUCGUGCAAGUCGGGUGUGAAAGCCCUGGGCUCAACCCAGGAAGUGCAUUCGAUACUGCGCGACUGGAGUCCCGGAGAGGAUGGUGGAACUCUCGGUGUAGAGGUGAAAUUCGUAGAUAUCGAGAAGAACACCGGUGGCGAAGGCGGCCAUCUGGACGGUGACUGACGCUGAGACGCGAAAGCGUGGGGAGCAAACAGG